GAAAAGGUCCUCUGGGAAACUGUUGCAAGUCUAGUCCUGGCUGGGUGGAGCAAACAUUUGCCAGAGGACCUGAGUGUACAGGGCGGAUUGUACAGGAGAAGGCGACCCUGUACAUAAGUAACCUGGAUCAAUGUAACAUUUUAAAGAACCCAUGUGUCAGUGUGACACAGCAAGGACUACAUUCAAGAAAACACCAGAGAACAACUGAUAUUCAAUGUGUAUCUUUUGGACUGAUAAAGGAUUUUUAAUAAGAACAAAGAGGCCCCAAAGGUCAUAGAGAGCAAUACCUAACAAUGGAAGACAAACUGAUCUAAUUUGCCCAGGUCAGUUUUGAUAGAAUCUGGUCACACUUACCACAGAGAAGAGCUGAACGAUGCAUCCACUGGCCCAUAUAGCGAUCAUCUUGAAAUCUACGCACCCAAUCCAAGGUGGAGAUCUUGAAGAGGCAAAUGG